GAGUGUUAACAGCAGCAGAGAAGGACAAGCAAACAUGCUGCUGCUGGCAGCUCUUGUGGCCGCAACCACUUGGUCUUAUGGAUUUGUGUGGGAAAUUCCCAUACAGAGCCCUGUAUCCAUCACCAAGUCACAAGGAAGUAUACGUCUGCACUGUCAUUUUAAAGACUUCUCUGGCAAUUUUGAUAAGACUGCCAUACACUGGUAUCAACAAAAGGAGAAUAAAACUCUGGCGAGGAUGAUCUACAUUACAUCAGGAGCAAGUGUAGUAGAUGAGAGCUUCCAAAGGCACAGAUACAUGAUUCAAACUAUUUCUAGACAGAAACUCUGCAUUCUUACAGUACGAAGAGUACUUCUAGACGACGCUGCUACCUACCACUGCGCCUACUGGGCCCCACACUAUGGCAGAAGCCAAACAAUCACGCCAACCAAUACUCCUCCAGCAGCUCAACCACAAACCACGUGAAAGAUCCCAACUCACUUCCCCAGAGUGGAGGAGUCUCCUGAACACAUGGGUGGGAUUUCACCACUGCUGACCAGGACCUUGCACAUGUCAGCUGGCAAAAGAAAGGGAUUUCAAGCAAGCAAGCGCCAAGGGUGAAGCAAACAGUGAAAGUCUGAAAUAUAACCCAAGCUCAGCACUUCAGGUGCUCUUCCUCUUUCCUCAAGCAUAGCCAUGAAUUGUUUGUAAUGGUUCAGCUUGGAUACUAGGAAGAAUUUCAUCUCAGAAAGAGUGGCCAUAUGUUGGAACACGCUGCUCAGGGAAGUGGUGGACUCCCCAUCCCUGGAGGCAUUCAAGAAAAGGGUGGAUGUGGCACUUAGGGACGUGGUUUGUCAACACGCUUGACGGUUGACUAGAUGACCAUAGCAGUCUUUUCUAACCAUAAUGAUUCUAUGAUUCUGUGAUUUCUUCAGGAGAAAGCAGUGCUUUUCCACGCUGUUGCUCCUGGAGAUGACUCAGCAUCCAA